rnacentral:rRNA from 1 species
GACGAACGCUGGCGGCGUGCUUAACACAUGCAAGUCGAACGGAAAGGCCCUGCUUUUGUGGGGUGCUCGAGUGGCGAACGGGUGAGUAACACGUGAGUAACCUGCCCUUGACUUUGGGAUAACUUCAGGAAACUGGGGCUAAUACCGGAUAGGAGCUCCUGCUGCAUGGUGGGGGUUGGAAAGUUUCGGCGGUUGGGGAUGGACUCGCGGCUUAUCAGCUUGUUGGUGGGGUAGUGGCUUACCAAGGCUUUGACGGGUAGCCGGCCUGAGAGGGUGAACGGCGACAUUGGGACUGAGAUACGGACCAGAGUGCUACGGGAGGCAGCAGUGGGGAAUAUUGCACAAUGGGCGGAAGCCUGAUGAAGAAACGCCGCGUGCGGGAUGACGGCCUUCGGGUUGUAAACCGCUUUAGCCUGAGACGAAGCGUGAGUGACGGUAAUGGGUAAAGAAGCACCGGCUAACUACGUG